AGUUGAUGGUUUUAUGGUGAUGUAGAUUGAAGUCGUGUGAGGCGGGUGUUAUAGUAAUAAUGAAGGAUGUAUUAUGAUGCUUUUUUUGUGUGUGUAUGAUGCAAUGUAUUUUAGUGGAGAAGAUGAAGAUAUAUUUUUUCACUCUUGGUUGUUGUUUUUUUUUUUUUGGAAAAGAAGAUAUGAUAGUUAUGUUUUUCGUGAAUGUGGUAUAUAAAUGAGGGAGUCUUCCAUGAAAAGUGCAAUCUUGGUA
rnacentral:lncRNA from 1 species